rnacentral:lncRNA from 1 species
AAAAAAAAAAAAGAAAAAAGAUCUACUGAGGUCUUCUUUUUUUUUCCUCCCUAUGGGAUUUGGGUUUGCCCACUCCAAAACUAUUUCCAGAUAUUUUGCCUAACCCAGCUUGCAACCUAUGAUCUUGCUAGUUGUACUAGCCCAAUCCGUGAAUCCUAUAAGAUUUUCAACCAAUCCUAUAGGAAAAUCUAAACAAGCCUUAAGUGAAUUAGAAUUCCUAAACCUAAUGAGCAGAAAGCAAUAUCUUUCCCAAUGAAAGGAACUCAAUUCUAUCAUUGACUGUGUCUAUCGAACUACAUUCAUGAUAAUCAUAGGACAGCAUACCCCAUAAGCAAUCCUUGGAAAGGUCCAUAAUGAUGUAGCAUCAAGACACAUGGAAAGUUUCUUGAGAGGAUGCUUAUAAGCAUGCCACACAAAAGAUAAGAACAUUGGGAUGAAUCUUCUCCAACGAUUCCUCAACCAGGUCCCUUUCAUUGCAAUCUUCAUGUAAGUCUUAAAGAUCCAAAAUAUUAUAACCAAUAUUAUCAUGAAUCAAGGAUAUCUAAAUAUUGUACCAUUCAUCAAUCUAUCCUCAUGAGUAUUAUCUCCCAUAAAUAGGCUGCUUAUGAAGUGUUCAUGAAUUUAUCUUUUAAAUAUAUGUAUCUUACAUACAAGCACAAUUUAAAAAGGGGAAAAAUGUCCUUACCUUCUCACUACCUCAACACUAGGAACAUCAUACCUUGCAUCAACAUUACUCUUCAUUACAUAGCUAAACAUAAAUAUCAACUUAGAGAGGCGAAUUAUUCAAAGAUGAUAGGCCCGAAUCUAUAAGGUGAUAAUCACCAUCCACCCAUGUACCUGUUCGAUUUCAUUAGGUGCCUUUACUGUUGAACCCCUUACACAUUAUAACUUUCAAUUUCUAAACUCUACUACCAACAUUUUCCUUGAGCACUUAGAACGAGGUUGCAAAUACUCCACUUGAUGCCAUAUUAUGGUUGCAAACACUCCAAAACUAUUUCUAGAUAUUUUGCCUAACCCAGCUUGCAACCUACGAUCUUGCUAGUUGUACUGGCCUAAUCCGUGAAUCCUACAAGAUUUUCAACCAAUCCUAUAGGAAAAUCUAAACAAGCCCUAAGUGAAUUAGAAUUCCUAAACCUAACGAUCAGAAAGCAAUAUCUUUCCCAAUGAAAGGAACUCGAUUCUAUCAUUGACUGUGUCUAUCAAACUACGUUCAUGAUAAUCAUAGGACAGCAUACCCCAUUAGCAAUCCUUGGAAAGGUCCAUAAUGAUGUUGCAUCAAGACACAUGGAAAGUUUCUUGAGAGGAUGCUUAUAAGCAUGCCACACAAAAAGAUAAGAACAUUGGGAUGAAUCUUCUCCAAUGAUUCCUCAACCAGGUCCCUUUCAUUGCAAUCUUCAUUUAAGUCUUAAAGAUCCAAAAUAUUAUAACCAAUAUUAUCAUGAAUCAAGGAUAUCUAAAUAUUGUACCAUUCAUCAAUCUAUCCUCAUGAGUAUUAUCUCCCAUAAAUAGGCUGCUUAUGAAGUGUUCAUGAGUUUAUCUUUUAAAUAUAUGUAUCUUAGAUACAAGCACAAUUUAAAAAGGGGAAAAAUGUCCUUACCUUCUCACUACCUCAACACUAGGAACAUCAUACCUUGCAUCAACAUUACUCUUCAUUACAUAGCUAAACAUAAAUAUCAACUUAGAGAGGCAAAUUAUUCAAAGAUGAUAGGCCCGAAUCUAUAAGGUGAUAAUCACCAUCCACCCAUGUACCUGUUCAAUCUCAUUAGGUGCCUUUACUGUUGAACCCCUUACACAUUAUAACUUUCAAUUUCUAAACUCUACUACCAACAUUUUCCUCGAACACUUAGAACGAGGUUGCAAAGACUCCACUUCAUGCCAUAUUAUGGUUGCAAACACUCCAAAACUAUUUCUGGAUAUUUUGCCUAACCCAGCUUGCAACCUACGAUCUUGCUAGUUGUACUGGCCCAAUCCGUGAAUCCUACAAGAUUUUCAACCAAUCCUAUAGAAAAAUCUAAACAAGCCCUAAGUGAAUUAGAAUUCCUAAACCUAACGAUCAGAAAGCAAUAUCCUUCCCAAUGAAAGGAACUCGAUUCUAUCAUUGACUGUGUCUAUCAAACUACGUUCAUGAUAAUCAUAGGACAGCAUACCCCAUGAGCAAUCCUUGGAAAGGUCCAUAAUGAUGUAGCAUCAAGACACAUGAAAAGUUUCUUGAGAGGAUGCUUAUAAGCAUGCCACACAAAAGAUAAGAACAUCGAGAUGAAUCUUCUCCAAUGAUUCCUCAACCAGGUCCCUUUCAUUGCAAUCUUCAUGUAAGUCUUAAAGAUCCAAAAUAUUAUAACCAAUAUUAUCAUGAAUCAAGGAUAUCUAAAUAUUGUACCAUUCAUCAAUCUAUCCUCAUGAGUAUUAUCUCCCAUAAAUAGGCUGCUUAUGAAGUGUUCAUGAGUUUAUCUUUUAAAUAUAUGAAUCUCAGAUACAAGCACAAAUUAAAAAGGGGAAAAAUGUCCUUACCUUCUCACUACCUCAACACUAGGAACAUCAUACCUUGCAUCAACAUUACUCUUCAUUACAUAGCUAAACAUAAAUAUCAACUUAGAGAGGCGAAUUAUUCAAAAAUGAUAGGCCCGGAUCUAUAAGGUGAGAAUCACCAUCCACCCAUGUACCUGUUCGAUCUCAUUAGGUGCCUUUACUGUGGACCCCUUACACAUUAUAACUUUCAAUUUCUAAACUCUACUACCAACAUUUUCCUUGAGCACUUGGAACGAGGUUGCAAAGACUCCACUUGAUGCCAUAUUAGGGUUAGCAUAAAAAAUUCAUAUUCAAAGAAACUUUCAUUUAUGUAGCCAAAGGAUUAAAAUCCCAUUAUGGAUGCCUGUCCCGAGGACAAUACAAUGCCGGGAAGGAUUGGGACAGCCUAGAAUGACUGCAGGAUUUCCAUUUUCCCAUCUCCCAUCUUAAUGUCUUCAAGGAUCCUCUUAUAUUUUUCCAUGCAAACUCCAUUAAUAGAGAAAUAUUUUACUAGACAUAGAGAACUUCUAAGAAGGCCUUGUUUUAAUGAAGCUUGCAAACCACAAGAAUUGUAACACAACCCUUAGGUGAACCAAGGCUAAACACAAGUGAGAGAUCAAUCUCAAAUUACAAGAAAAAAUAAAAAUGAUGAUACCAAUUAGUUUGUCUAUUUGUUUAUAAAUUAUUGCAGAAUAAAAUCUUUACAAAACCAUGUGGUAGACAAAAAUCCAUUUCCUAAUCAUUAUUCUUGAGAUGCAUAUAUGCUUGCGGACAGUUAACCAUACCCAACAAAAACUGAUUAUGAAAAACAGCUUGGUGCAGAAAACUCACCAAAGAUAAGCACCAUAGCACCUCAUAACUGUCUAAUCUAAAGAUAUAAAAACAUAACAAAGAGGACCCAAAGACACCAAUCAAUAUAAAUCAGGUCAUUGAGACGUGAUUAACAAUAUUGAAGUCUAACUAUUUUACAAACAAGACCCAACAGAAAAUAGGAUCCAAUCAGUGACAUGAGUGUGAAAAUGAGCUAAUUUUGUUCAGAAUCUAUGACAAUCUCAUCAUUUAUAAGAAAGGAAAAAGGGCAAAGAAAAAACAACUGCACUGUGUACGGCCAAACCUUCAAAUAUUACAACAGAAAUAACAUAGUUCAAAACACUCUGUUUACAUCCCAUCUCAACAACCUACCCGGUGGCCAUG